CCCCUGUCCCAAUGCAGCCAUCUGGUGUUCCACGUAUGCCUAUGUAUCCUGCUGCUGGACCUGGAAUUGGACAACAAUUAUUUUAUGGCCAAGCACCCCCUGCACUUAUUUCUCAUCAGGUAAUUUUUUAAUUACAUUGUUUAUUCUUUCAAAGUUUAGGUAAAAAAUCUAUCAAUCAUUUUUUAUUCAACUUCAUCCUUUAAAAAUAUUUUAUGAGACAUGAACUGUUUAAAAAGAUAUAGUAAGAGACAUAAAUUUUAAUUCGGUCAGGUUUUUAAACAACCAUCGAUGAUUUGUAUUUUUUAUCGAUGAUUUUAGAUAGGAUAUUUUUGAUUUAAUUAGAACUUGAAAUAAAAAAAACUCUUAUUGUUCUUAUUCCUUAUUUUUAUUUUAGACAUCAAUUUUAAUUCGGUCAGGUUUUUAACCAACCGUCGAUGUUUUGUAUUUUUUAUCGAUGAUUUUAUAUAGGAUAUUUUUGAUUUAAAUAGAACUUGAAAUAAAAAAAUUCUUAUUGUUCUUAUUUCUUAUUUUUAUUUCUUGACAUUUAUUUGUUUGGUCAAUUAAUCACAUAUGGAUAUUUUUUUAGCCUGGUUUUGGUUAUCAACAACCACUUGUUCCUGGUAUGAGGCCUGGAGGUGCUCCAUUUUUUAUGCCUUUUGUCCAACAAGGUCAGCAGGGGCCAAGGUCUGGUGGUGGUAGGCGUACUGGACCAGGAGGGCACAUGCAACAAAGUCAGCAACCAAUGCCAAUGGUUCAGCAACAGGUAUCCUGGCUUAUAUAUAUUUUUUACUCUUCAUCUUGUUUUUGAUUUCAUUCCUGUCUUUUGUUUUGCAGAUGUUUCCUAGGGGUGGAAGGAUGUAUCGUUUCCCACCGGGAAGAAAUAUACCUGACAUGCCUAUUCCUGGUGCAAGUGGUGGCAUGCUUUCUUCUCCAUUUGAUAUGGGUGGUUUUCCUGGAAGAGAUGGUGCCAUGUCACAGCCUAUACCUAUAUCAGCACUGGCUUCAUCUCUUGCAAACGCUCCUCCUGAUCAGCAGAGAAUGGUAUACAUUACAAAUCUUUUUAUCUUUUUAUUGUAGUUCUCAAAAAUAUAAUUUUUUGUUUUGUAGAUGCUUGGAGAAAGUUUGUACCCACUUGUUGAUCAAAUUGAGCAUGAUAUGGCUGCUAAGGUUACUGGAAUGCUUCUUGAAAUGGACCAAACUGAAGUUCUACACUUGCUGGAAUCGCCUGAGGCACUAAAAGCAAAGGUUGGUGAAGCUAUGGAAGUCCUUAGAAACGUUGCCCAGCAGCAACAGCAAAAUACUCCUGUGGAUCAGCUGGCUGGACUUUCUUUAAAUGAUGGCGUCGCAUAGAUUAUUGCUGAAUUUUGAGACUUUUCUCAUUCCGCGACUCUGUUUUGAUGGAAAAACUAUUAUUCCUAUUUCGAUUUUGUUGGUUUUAAUACCUGUUUGACUAUUAUUAUGGUUGAAAAAUACCUGGUUCUUUUUAAUUUUAAUGGAUUGCUAAGUAUUGUUCUUUUUUAUUUCUUUUCACCUGUUUAACUAUCAUUAUUUUUGGUUUGAUUUUUUUAUCAAGUUUGCUAUGAUUUUGAAAUUUCGAUUAUUCGAUAUUCUAUAUCUUAAAUUGUCAAUGUAUAUUCUUCUGAAUUUUUUGUCUAAUCUUUAACUUUAAGAUUUAAUCAAAUUAAAGCUUAAUGAAAAUAUAACAUUGAAGAUCAUUUGAGCAUCUCAAGCAUAUAAUUGAGUAGGAGCGAGGUGUCGUUCAGGAUACGUACCUCGUCGGAGACGUGGGAGCGAGAUAGUUUAUAUUCUGAAUGAAACUGUACAGAACUGACUUGAGUAUUAGUUUUAGAGAAUUAACGUUCAAACAACAAACAAACAAUAACGAAAACUGAAAUAUAUUUGCAUAGAUUGAAAGUAAAAGACGAUUAGAAUAAACCUAGAAAUAAAGGAACAACUACGAUAACAUAAUCCUCUUAACAAUAACAAUGAUACGAAACCUGGACAACCAAAACAAUAGAGUAGAAAACGCUGAGUAGACGUUGAGAACAUCGGAAGAGACUCGAAGGACGACCGACGUAACCUAGAAGUCAGAGAUGUAAGAAUGGAGAAAUGCGACUUAAAGAAAACUAACUGUAAUACCUGUAAAGCGAUGUAGCCUGUUCAACGACUUUUUCUUUAUUUAUAUCUUUAGGCAUGUUCAUGCGAUGAGAGCGCAUGAACGCCUAAGACGUCCAGGCAUUGCAUAAACAAGAGAGAAAUUCUGCACUAUCUUCCCUGUAU
rnacentral:lncRNA from 1 species